rnacentral:rRNA from 1 species
UACGUAGGGUGCGAGCGUUAAUCGGAAUUACUGGGCGUAAAGCGUGCGCAGGCGGUUUUGUAAGCCCGAUGUGAAAGCCCCGGGCUCAACCUGGGAAUGGCAUUUGGGACUGCAAGGCUGGAGUAUGGCAGAGGAGACUAGAAUUCCUGGUGUAGCAGUGAAAUGCGUAGAUAUCAGGAGGAACACCGAUGGCGAAGGCAGGUCUCUGGGCCACUACUGACGCUGAGAAGCGAAAGCAUGGGGAGCGAACAGG